rnacentral:miRNA from 1 species
UGAGCUAUCUCCCCGGCCCAAAAGUUCUUUUAGGGGCCGGGGAGAUGGCUCAG